CCUUCAUGGUCAAAUAGCCCUUACACAGCCUGGAGGUGUGUUUUGGGUCAUUGUCUUGUUGAAAAACAAAGGAUAGUCCCACCAAGUGACAACCAGAAGGGAUGGCGUAUCACUGCAGAAUGCUGUGGUAGCCAUGCUGGUUUAUUGUGCCUUGAAUUCUAAAUGAAUCACUGACUGUCACCAGCAAAGCACCCCCACACCAUCACACCUCCUCCAUGAUUCACGGUGGGAACCACACAUGCAGAGAUCAUCCUACUCUGGGUCUCAAAAAGCCAUGGCGGUUGCAACCAAAAAUCUCAAAUUUGGACUCAUCAGUCUAAUGUCCAUUGCUCGUGUUUCUUGGCCCAAGCAAAUCUCUUAUUUUUGGUGUCCUUUAGUAGUGGUUUCUUUGCAGCAAUUUGACCAUGAAGGCCUGAUUCACUUAGUCUCCUCUGAACAGGUGAUGUUGAGUUGUCUGUUACUUGAACUCCGUGAAGCAUUUUUAUUUUUUUUGGCUGCAAUCAGAUGCAGUUAAUUGCCCAUUUCUGAGGUAACUAAUGAACUUAUUCUCUGCAGCAGAGGUAACUCUGAGUCUUCCUUUCCUGUGGCAGUCCUCAUGAGAGCCAGUUUCAUCAUAGCGCUUGAUGGUUUUUGAGACUGCACUUGAAGAAACGUUACAAGUUCUUGAAAUUUUCCGGAUUGACUGACCUUCAUGUCUUAAGGCAGUGUUUUCAUGUGUCCAAAGGGGGAAUUACCAAUCCCCUGGGACCCUUUGAUUGGGUCUGCUGUUUGGUCGGGAUUUCUCCCUAAGGAUUAGCCCACUAACUCCCUAACCCUGUAACUCUGCGGUUCUGGCGAAGGUGACUACAGUUGGUAUCUAGAUACAUGGAAAGGAUAAUUUGACCGAGAACAGUGGAAACCUCACCCCCUCUAACUGGCUGAAGUAAUGGCGACAAUGGCAUUCACUAUGGUCCUUCACCAUUUUACGUGAGACCUGAGUCCGAGCCAGCAACUUGUACACAGCAUCCAGUCGAAGCUAUCAACUGCCUUUUCUCUCAGGAGUGUGACAUGAGUCCACAUGGAGUGAGCAUGGAGAGAGAUUCCGUCCAAACUUCUCUCAUGCUGCUGGUGUACAGGCAGGAAAAUGAACAAUACAUAAUGGUCCAUAAAGGACAGAGGUGGCUCAGGGGAGAAAAAUCGGGACAUUAUUAAGGGCCAUCCACUUUGGACAUGUGCCAUUGGAGGGCGAACUGUAAAGCUAUCUGAAGAAGAAACUGAAGAAAUGUCACAAGGAUGAGUGCCGUGAAGGAGGGGGGUGGUCAACCGUGACUAUAAUUGAUUUAGGCUUUGUCCAAAAUUGUUUAUUUGGGGUCCUAGGUUGAUUGUGGAGGUCUGCACACUGCAAAAAUUAAGUAAUUUAGACUAAGAAUGUGCUGAGAUACCAAUCUGUCAUUACCACAAUGAUGGUUAUUGAUGAGAGUACUGACCACCGAUGUAGCACAGUUGUGUCUAUAUGUCUGUUAUUUUCAUGGAAAUUACUUUAAAGAAGAGCUACUGGCACUGAUCCCCCUCGAAGGACACACCACCGGGGACAUCCUAUUCACAAAGCUGAAAGAAUUGUUUACGCAGCAUGGCCUGUCAUUUGAAAAAGUCUACUUUGUGGUCUCCGACGGGGCUUCUGCUAUGGUGGGCAGACACAGGGGCCUGGUCAGUAGGUUGAAGGAAAUCACCCCACAAAUGAAUGGCUUGCAUUGUCUCAUCCAUCAGACUGUGUUGUGUGUCAGACUAAACGGUGAGCUAAAAGAUGUGAUGGAUAAAGUAAUGCGCAUAAUCAACUUUGUCAGCAGGACAUCAAGUACACAACACCAUCUUUUCCGCAAGCUUGUGACAGAAUCAGAGGAGGCCACCCACCUAUGAUCUCCUGCUUUACAACAAUGUGCGCUAGCUGAGUAAAGUAAAAGUUCUAGAGCGAUUCUGUAAGCUGCAUGACCAGGUUGUGGAUUUUGUCAGAAAAAGCUAAAUGAAGGCAGCAACUGACCACAUUAGUAUUCUGGAAAUUGAGGGAUUCCUCUCUAAUGUAGCUGUUUUGGCUGACAUAUUCUGUCACUUAAAUGGGUUAAAUCUGUAUUUACAAGGAAGUGGGAAAACAGUUGUGGACAUGGUGAACUUCCAAACAACGAGCCAAAUCAGGGAUGCAUUCAGGAGUGCUGAGUCGUUGUGUGCAUUUUGGGUGGCAUGCUCAGAGGAAUACAGCACAAUAAAUAAACUUGCAUUAUGUGCUAACAAUGUUUGGAUCGACUUACACCUGCGAGUCCUAAUUUUCCUCUAUGAACGCAGUAAAGACUCACGACAGGAACCGGCUUUCACAUAAGUCAAUCGAGGACUGCCUGCGCAUCAAAAUCACAACCCUCUCACUCGACAUCCACAAGAUCGUGUCCGAGGGGAAAUGCAACUUUUCCCAUUAAGAGCAGGUUAUCCCAAGACUCCCGAUACAGACAUUCAGACAUUGACUUCUUUUCUUUAAAUUAUUGUUUUAUGUAGGAUGUUACCUUGUUGGCCAGUUGCAAUUGUAAGUAGGCCAAAUGCAUUUUUUUUAAAUCCCAUUUCUAUUGGGCCAUUUUUCUUCUUGUGGAAGAUGCUGUUAAGCAUCAUAGCCUACCUCAGCUAGUUAAGUUAUUUAAUAUGGACCUUGGCUCUGAAUAAAUAAGACUGCAAUUAAGCCCUCUUGUUGUUUGUAAAGUCAAAUUAAAAUAAAGAUUAUUG